rnacentral:rRNA from 1 species
AGUGAACGCUGGCGGUAGGCCUAACACAUGCAAGUCGAACCGCAGCACAGUAAGAGCUUGCUCUUACGGGUGGCGAGUGGCGGACGGGUGAGGAAUACAUCGGAAUCUACUUUUUCGUGGGGGAUAACGUAGGGAAACUUACGCUAAUACCGCAUACGACCUACGGGUGAAAGCAGGGGAUCUUCGGACCUUGCGCGAUUGAAUGAGCCGAUGUCGGAUUAGCUAGUUGGCGGGGUAAAGGCCCACCAAGGCGACGAUCCGUAGCUGGUCUGAGAGGAUGAUCAGCCACACUGGAACUGAGACACGGUCCAGACUCCUACGGGAGGCAGCAGUGGGGAAUAUUGGACAAUGGGCGCAAGCCUGAUCCAGCCAUACCGCGUGGGUGAAGAAGGCCUUCGGGUUGUAAAGCCCUUUUGUUGGGAAAGAAAAGCAGCAGGUUAAUACCCCGCUGUUCUGACGGUACCCAAAGAAUAAGCACCGGCUAACUUCGUG